GUGCCAGCCGCCGCGGUAAUACGGAGGGUGCAAGCGUUGUCCGGAUUUAUUGGGUUUAAAGGGUGCGUAGGCGGCUUUUUAAGUCAGUGGUGAAAUCCAGCAGCUUAACUGUUGAAUUGCCAUUGAUACUGGAGAGCUUGAGUACAGACGAGGUAGGCGGAAUUUAUGGUGUAGCGGUGAAAUGCAUAGAUACCAUAAAGAACACCGAUUGCGAAGGCAGCUUACUAGGCUGUAACUGACGCUGAGGCACGAAAGUGUGGGGAUCAAACAGGAUUAGAUACCCUGGUAGUCCACACUGUAAACGAUGAUUACUCGAUGUGUGCGAUAGACAGUACGCGUCCAAGCGAAAGCGUUAAGUAAUCCACCUGGGGAGUACGAUCGCAAGAUUGAA
rnacentral:rRNA from 1 species